GGGCCCGUAGCUCAGCUGGGAGAGCGCUUGAAUGGCAUUCAAGAGGUCAGGGGUUCGACUCCCCUCGGGUCCACCA
rnacentral:tRNA from 1 species